rnacentral:rRNA from 1 species
GAUGAACGCUGGCGGCGUGCCUAAUACAUGCCAGUCGAGCGAACAGAUAAGGAGCUUGCUCCUUUGACGUUAGCGGCGGACGGGUGAGUAACACGUGGAUAACCUACCUAUAAGACUGGGAUAACUUCGGGAAACCGGAGCUAAUACCGGAUAACAUAUUGAACCGCAUGGUUCAAUAGUGAAAGGCGGCUUUGCUGUCACUUAUAGAUGGAUCCGCGCCGUAUUAGCUAGUUGGUAAGGUAACGGCUUACCAAGGCAACGAUACGUAGCCGACCUGAGAGGGUGAUCGGCCACACUGGAACUGAGACACGGUCCAGACUCCUACGGGAGGCAGCAGUAGGGAAUCUUCCGCAAUGGGCGAAAGCCUGACGGAGCAACGCCGCGUGAGUGAUGAAGGUCUUCGGAUCGUAAAACUCUGUUAUCAGGGAAGAACAAAUGUGUAAGUAACUGUGCACAUCCUGACGGUACCUGAUCAGAAAGCCACGGCUAACUACGUG